rnacentral:rRNA from 1 species
GGGAUUGCCUCAGUAACGGCGAGUGAAGCGGCAACAGCUCAAAUUUGAAAUCUGGCCCCUUCGGGGUCCGAGUUGUAAUUUGUAGAGAGUGCUUCGGGGGAGACCGCGGUCUAAGUCCAUUGGAACAUGGCGUCAUAGAGGGUGAGAAUCCCGUAUGUGACCGUGGCUCGAACCCGUGUGAAGCCUCUUCGACGAGUCGAGUUGUUUGGGAAUGCAGCUCAAAAUGGGUGGUAAAUUUCAUCUAAAGCUAAAUACUGGCUGGAGACCGAUAGCGCACAAGUAGAGUGAUCGAAAGAUGAAAAGCACUUUGGAAAGAGAGUUAAAAAGUACGUGAAAUUGUUGAAAGGGAAGCGCUGGCAACCAGACCUGCCCGUAGGCGAUCAGCCGCUGUUCUCAGCGGUGCACUCGCUCUGCGAUCAGGCCAGCAUCGGUUCCGGCGGUCGGAUAAAGGCCUUGGGAAUGUAGCUGCCCUUCGGGGGAGUCUUAUAGCCCUCGGUGCAAUGCGGCCAGCCGGGACCGAGGACCGCGCUUCGGCUAGGAUGCUGGCGUAAUGGUUGUCAGCGACCCGUCUUGAAACACGGACCAAGGAGUCUAACAUCUAUGCGAGUGUUUGGGUGUUAAACCCAUGCGCGGAAUGAAAGUGAACGGAGGUGAGAACCCUUAAGGGCGCAUCAUCGACCGAUCCAGAUGUCUUCGGAUGGAUUUGAGUAUGAGCAUAGCUGUUGGGACCCGAAAGGUAAAGCCCAACUGUCUCUCCUUUUAUAGAGUUCAAUGCUAAUGUAUUUUCCAGAUGGUGAACUAUGCCUGAAUAGGGUGAAGCCAGAGGAAACUCUGGUGGAGGCUCGCAGCGGUUCUGACGUGCAAAUCGAUCGUCAAAUUUGGGUAUAGGGGCGAAAGACUAAUC